rnacentral:misc_RNA from 1 species
CCAAGAUAUUAUAGACAUUCUCCGGUAAACGAAUCGUCCUAGAAUUCUGAAAUAUGGCCUUCCUAACAGUCUGCCUUAUCCACCAAUAUGCAUAAGUGGCAAAUCGGCAGCUGUGGUUUGAAUUUCUCAAUGCUUUUCAUAAGACCCAUGCUUCCUUCCUGCAUUAAGUCCUGAAGGCUGAGACCACGGCCCUGAUACUGUUUAGCAAUAUGAAC